rnacentral:rRNA from 1 species
UACUCCCGCCGGCGACCGGCGCACGGGUGAGUAACACGUAUGAAACCUGCCCGUAGCAGGGGGAUAAGCGGAAGAAAUUCCGUCUAAUACCGCGUAACAACCCGAGGAGGCAUCUCCUCGGGUUUAAAGGAAGCGAUUCCGGCUACGGAUGGUCAUGCGUCGCAUUAGCUAGUUGGCGGGGUAACGGCCCACCAAGGCGACGAUGCGUAGGGGUUCUGAGAGGAAGGCCCCCCACACUGGUACUGAGACACGGACCAGACUCCUACGGGAGGCAGCAG